rnacentral:rRNA from 1 species
CCUACGGGUGGCAGCAGUGGGGAAUAUUGGGCAAUGGAGGCAACUCUGACCCAGCAACGCCGCGUGAGUGAUGAAGGUCUUCGGAUUGUAAAACUCUUUAAGUGGGGACGAAGAAAGUGACUGUACCCACAGAAUAAGCCUCGGCUAACUACGUGCCAGCAGCCGCGGUAAUACGUAGGAGGCAAGCGUUAUCCGGAAUGAUUGGGGGUAAAGGGUGCGUAGGUGGUUUAGCAAGUUAGGUGCGUAAUUCCAGGGCUCAACUUCGGAACUACUACUAAAACUGCUGGGCUUGAGUGCAGGAGAGGCAAAUGGAAUUCCUAGUGUAGCGGUGGAAUGCGUAGAUAUUAGGAGGAACACCAGUGGCGAAGGCGAUAUGCUGGACUGUAACUGACGCUGAGGCACGAAAGCGUGGGGAGCAAACAGGAUUAGAUACCCCUGUAGUC